UUUUUUUUUUUUUUGUCUUUUUAGGGCCGUACCCAUGGCAUAUGGAAGUUCCCAGGCCCAGGGUCAAAUCAUAGCUGUAACGGAUGGCCUGCGCUACAGCCACAGCAACACCAGAUCUGAGCUGCUUCUUCAACCUACACCACAGCUCAUGGCAUUGCCGGAUCCUUAACCCACUGAGUGAGGCCAGGAAUCAAGCCUGAGUCCUCAUGGAUACUAGUCAGAUUUGUUUCUGCUGAACCACAACAGGAGCUCCAAGCUAUAUUCUUAUUGUGUCCUCACACAGCAGAAAGAGGACCAGAGAUGGGGCUUCUCCCAUUAGGGCACUAAGCCCAUUCAUGAGGGUUCUGUCCUUAUAACCAAAUUAAUUCCCGGAGGUCCCAGUUCCUGACACCAUCACGUCGGGUGGGGGGGUUAGGAUUUCAACAUAUGAAUUUGAGGGGGGGGACAUCUGGUCCAUAACAAUGACAAACAGAGAAAAACUGAAGGCCAAACGGGGACUAUGGUGGAGAAGAGAAUAGGCAGCUGCUCUUCUUCUGAGCAUCCUCGGGUGGGAAGAUGGCCCAGUGUGACCAGAUCAUCCCAUUUUCUAGGAGAAGUUGGAAAAAUACAUGUUUUUUUUUUUUUUUUUUAAAUGUGAAAGCCAAGCUCCUGAUUUUUAAAUCUUGACAAGUAGUUUAAAAACUCCGUGACCUCUGGAAAGAUCUAGAAUCCUUUUGCUGCUUGAAGGCAUGUUACUGCAGGCAGAAAUGCCUUGUCUAAACAAGGAGUACGUCUGGAAACACUGUCGCCUGCCUGACGGGUGGGUGGAGUUGGCUGCCAUCUGGACCACGGCCUGUCAGAAGCCACCACCUGCUGCAAGGGAUGUGACAUUCCAUCACCAGGGACAGCGUUCUUGUCUUCGGGCUUGGUCGCCUGGUUAAAAAUAGAUCGGCCUUGACUGCCUUCUCAGUAACUCUGUUCUUGGUAAAAGCAGCAAGUCUGAAGAUAAGGCAGUGAAGUUCAGCCUUCGGAGGGUUUGGUGAAGACCGGGAUUCCUGAGUUGGGUGUAUCUACAGGCUACCUUGGUGCACUUCAUGGUUUGCAUUCUGACCCACCCAGGACCCAGAGCUGGCCUCCAAUUUACAAUCCACUGUUCCCAGCAGAUGACCUUCAGGUGGGUCCAAGCAGCAGUUGAUAGGGAAGCCCUUGAACUCAGUUCUCUCAAAAUCACCCUGAAUUUCCACCUGUGGCUAUUUGCAAAAAAAGAUGACUUUCCUUCGCCCACUGCCCACAGCAACACUGGAUCUGAGCCACAUCGGUGACCUAAGCUGUGGCAAUGCUGAAUCCUUAACCCACUGAGUCGGGCCAGGGAUCGAACCUGCAUCCUCAUGGCUCCUAGUCAGGUUCUUAACCUGCUAGGACACAACGGGAAUGCCUGUUCAACUUCUUAUGAAUGCUAAGCAGGUUCUGGAAGACGACAGUCUUAAAGAGCUCCGGGACUUCCCGUUGUGACUCAGCAGGUUAAGAACCCAACUAGUAUCCAUGAGGAUGAGGAUUCAAUUUCUGGCUUCCCUCAGUGGGUUAAAGGAUCUGGCAUUGCCUUGAGCUGCAGUGUUGGUUGCAGAUGCGGCUCAGAUCUGGUGUUGCUGUUGCUGUGGCUGUGUCGUAGGCCAGCAGCUACAGCUCUGAUUUAACCCCUAGCCUGGGAACUUCCAUGAGCCACAGGUGCGGCCCUAAAAACAGAGAAAGAACUUGGACCCAGAGAGGUAGUUAAAACCAAUUAGUUUCCCUAACUGUUGUCCCCACUUCCAACUUGGGACCAGAAGAGAAAGCCAGCUAUGCAUUGCUAAUCCACCCCAUAGGAUGCUGCGACUAUGACAGCUAGUUGCUGCCUCCAGCUUUCCCCACUGAUGGGCUCCCAGCAGAGCACACCUGGAGCCCCUUUUCUUUUCCUCCAGAAAUCUUGCUUCUCCUCCCCACCCCAGCCCUGUCUGCCUUGGUGAUGCCAAAAGCAAGUGACCGUGAUGGUGGCUGACUCCCUGGCUGGGGUCAGCUCCCACCAAACAGCCUUUGCUUUCUUGUUUAGGUGGUUCACGUCCAGGGCUCACACGCACUCACAUACACACAGUUCGGUCGGCUGUUCGGGUCGCUCCAGGUUGAUGAAGAUGUGCCUGCAGUCUCGCACUAACUGCAGAACCCACUUGGAGGAGGCAGUUCCAAGGAAAUUGAUGUUCCAACCAGUCCCAGAUGAAGGGCAAAGGAGCCCAAGAGAUGUUUGAAAUCAUUGUGUUUUGACCGGAAACUUUAUUAACCUGGAGACAAUGGGACAAUUGUCCCUGAGUGAACAAAGCGAAAUGCUCAAGUCUGGGACAAGCAGAGCUGCCCUAAUGGCCUAGGCAUGGAUUUCUGAAGGUCUAUGCCAGCGUUGGCAAGAGCAGCCAUGGCUGUGAACGGGCUGGGCCAUGGACACAGGCAGCCCUGUCACCUCCUCACUGGAGCAAGUCCCAAAGGUUUUUAAGCCUCAGAAAAGGACCCAACUUUCCACCCUCAUCAAGUCACCAGACUGACCUUCAAGCCAACUGAAGGAGCAUCUUGGGAAGGACAAAGCAUUUUCUCAUCUCGGAACAAAACGUCACAGAGAGAGAGCUUUAAAUACAUCAUACCUGUAUUUUGCAGGGAGAAGCAAACUAAAGUAGAAAUGCAUAAGCCUUAAUAAAAAGAGGAAUUGGAGGGAGGGGGCAGGGGUACCAGGUUGCAGCCCCUCCCCCAACCCCCUUACCCCACCCCCCACCCUCCGCCUUGAUCCAGGCACAGGGCCCUCUGAAUGGGAAGAGAAGGUGCUAGAAUAUCUUCGUUCUUCUUUUAGAAUGUAUGUCGAUGACUUAAACCCAAGUCUCCAUUCCACGCCUGUUAAUUAGGCUGACUUGGUGGCAUAUGCCAGAAGUCUGGAGAGCUGCUCUCCCAGCUCUGCCGGGGCUGUGUCAUCACGUGACACAGCAGUUACUAUGGAGAUUAUCAGUCAUGAGCAGGUCGUCCAUAAGUUGAACUUGCAUCUGACAAGUUAAAUUUGUCACUAUGGGGAGAGAGUAAAGAGGGUUGUUUUUUUCUUUUUUUCCUUGAAGAGAUUUCCUUGGCUCCAGGCCCUGCCCCCUGCCCCUUUCCAGCCGGGUUAGGCUUUUUCCACGUGGUGGUCCUGAGCUGAAGAAAGCUUGCUUUAUUCUCUCUUGUGUUCUGUAGAGUCUUGGAGGAAGCUAGGGCGCUGGCACCAAGGGGCCCUGCAAGAUGGGUUAGGGCUAAAAUCAGACCAAUUCUGUGAUUCAUCUGCAGACCUAUAAGGGGGCACCAAGCACAGGCUUGGUCUCCUCUGGGACAGGAGUGGCAUAUGCCAGUUUUCUCUCCAACAAGUGUAUUUCAUUUCCUUCGUUGGCAUGAACUGCCCCCGUCACCACAUACGAACACAUGUGUGUGCAUGUGUGUUCAUGCCUGGCAGUAUGUCGAAUUGCGCUGCUGCUCUCUGUCCCUCAGUAGGUAAUGACUCUCAUAGACCACCUUUCUCAGAUUAAAGGCAAACUGCUAUUUAAUAAAAGCCACAGGAGGGAGGCUGGGAUGGAGCCACACCGAGAAGGGAGAGCCAGGCCGAACAUCUGGGCCACUGAAGGCCAUUGUCACACAACUUUGACAGGAGGAUGGGCUAGGAGGCUCCCACACUGGAUGAGCCUACCUCUCCUGGUUUCAGACACCUUUGUUUUAUUGUGUUUCUCUUUGGUUCAGCUCCUAACCAGGGUCGGAAUUAUAGGAGCCAGUCUCUCAUCUCUCAUAUACACGACCUUACAUUCAAAGGGCCCCCCAAAUCGAGAGUCAUCCCUUCAUAUGUGGGUGCAGGUGGCCUUGUUUUUUUUUUUAAUUUUUUUAUUAUGGUUGAUUUACGUUGUUCUGUUAAUUUCUCCUGCACAGCAAAGUGACCCAGUCCUGCAUCUAUACACACUUUCUUUCUUAUAGAAUCUUUCAUCACGUUCCAUCACAAGGGGUUGGACUGUGCUCUGCAGCAGGACCUCAUUGUCCAUCCAUUCUAAAGGUAACAGUUUGCAUCUACUAACCCCAAACUCCCCAUCCACCCCACUCCCUCCAAAGACCUGGCUAGAGGAGCCCAGGGCUGAACUGGGAAGGUGGGCCUGGACCCAGCAGUGUUCCCCAUCCCCUAUUGAUUAGAGGGCUAUGGCACCCCCUCUUUCAUCAGGAACAGAAAAGGUUUUAACACAUACAGACAUUUUCCUCCAGGCAACUCAGCUGCAAGAUCCUUAAAGACCAAACCAGAACUACUCCUUAAGAAGCAGCAGCCAGGAAACUAAGAAUCACAAUUUGAUUCUGUAACUCCCAAGAGACCGACCCACUUCAUUUGAGCUCAGCCAACAGUCUGGCGACCGAGGCUUUCAUUCUGUCACCUGUCUUUUUAAUAUUCUCAUGAACCUCUAUUUCCCCCUCAUUUCAAUGUUGAAGAAUCACCUUGGGAUUCUUGUCUGGUCAAGGACAGGAGUCUUGCCUCAGAGUUUGAUCUGUUAAGUGAAAAUGAAGCAAAACAAUAAGAAAAGCCAUUUGAUU
rnacentral:lncRNA from 1 species